rnacentral:rRNA from 1 species
UACGGGGGGUGCGAGCGUUGUCCGGAAUCACUGGGCGUAAAGGGCGCGUAGGUGGUUUGAUAAGGGUGUGGUGAAAGUCCGGAGCUCAACUCCGGAUCUGCCGUGCCGACUGUCAAACUCGAGGGCUGUAGAGGCAGACGGAAUUCCGGAUGUAGCGGUGGAAUGCGUAGAGAUCCGGAGGAAGACCGGUGGCGAAGGCGGUCUGCUGGGCAGUUUCUGGACACUGAGGCGCGACAGCGUGGGGAGCAACAGGG